rfam:Prevotella tannerae ATCC 51259 genomic scaffold Scfld1, whole genome shotgun sequence.
GGCUGUACCGGUUAGAUUGGGAAUCUCAUCAAUAAUUAACUGAAAACCGAGAAUGCCACUUUUUUCGAUGGCGUGCCGAUACGUUUCGACGGGGUCGGAUUACAAAGAUCUAAGAGGCGCUCAAAUCUUAUUUUAGCUCGGAGUUUCAUCACAUCAUCGGUACAGCUCUUUUU